GCGGGGGUUGCCAAGUCUGGUCAAACAACCUUUUUGCAAGCAAAAAGGCGUUUCUGUUGCACAGAAACAGCCUCUUUCUACGCAAGUAGAAAGCUGCUUGACCAAAAAGGAGGAUUAAAGGCGCAGGAUUCAGAGUCCUGUCUCGUAGGAGUUCGGGGGUUCAAAUCCCCUCCCCCGCA
rnacentral:tRNA from 1 species